UGCGGGGUAGAGCAGAGGCAGCUCGUCGGGCUCAUAACCCGGAGGUCGCAGGUUCGAAUCCUGCCCCCGCUACCU
rnacentral:tRNA from 1 species